rnacentral:rRNA from 1 species
GGCUUGCGGGGUGCCUUACCAUGCAAGUCGACGGUAACGUGAAAGUAUUUUGUUACUUUUGCCGGCGAGUGGCGAACGGGUGACUAAUGUAUCGCAACGCGACCAGAAUGGGAGGAUAACUACGCAAAGGGGUGGAUAAUACCGCAUACGCCCUACGGGGGGAAGGGGGGGAUCUUAAGACCUCUCACUAUUGCAUAGGCCGAUAUCCGAUUAUCUAUAUGUAGGGGUAAAGGCCUACCAAGGCGACGAUCCGUAUAUGGUUUGAGAGGACCCCCACCCACACUGGGACUGAGACACGGCCCAGACUUCUACGGGAGGCAACAGUGGGGAAUUUUGGACAAUGGGGGAAACCCUGAUCCUGCCAUCCCGCGUGUGAGAUGAAGGCCUUCGGCUUGUAAAGCACUUUUGUCAGGAAAGAAAAGGUUUCGGAUAACACCCGGAACUGAUGACGGUACCUGAACAAUAAGCACCGGCUACCUACAACUCCGCAGCCGCGGUAAUACGUAUGGGGCAAGCGAUAAUCUGAAUUACUGUUAUUAAAGCUAGUGCACGCGUAUCGGAAAGAUAAAUGCUAAAGCCCAAGGCUCAACCUUGGAACUGCAUUUUUAACUACCGAACUAGAGUAUGUCGGAGGGGGAGGAAUUCCAAUGCAGGUGAAAAUGAAAGAUAUGGGGAUAACACCGAUGCCAUGGCACCCCCCUGCUAUAGACUUGCACUGACGCGGAUAGCGAGCGGAGGAAGCGGAUUCGAUACCCUGACACUCCACGCCCACACCAUGCCAAUAUUUGUUGGGCGCUAUCGAGGCUUAUAUCCCCACUCCGGCGAGAACUUGCCUU